rnacentral:rRNA from 1 species
CUACUCUCAGUUCGGAUUGUAGGCUGAAACUCGCCUACAUGAAGCUGGAGUUACUAGUAAUCGCAGAUCAGAAUGCUGCGGUGAAUGCGUUCCCGGGUCUUGUACACACCGCCCGUCACACCACGGGCGUUGGAGACGCCCGAAGCCGAUUAUCUAACCUUUUGGAAGAAGUCGUCGAAGGUGGAAUCAAUAACUGGGGUGAAGUCGUAACAAGGUAGCCGUAUUGGAAGGUGCGGCUGGAUCACCUCCUUUCUAAGGAGA